AAAAAGCUAAUUUUUUUUUUGAAAGAGGUAUUCGCGGCGCGGGGAUCCUGUACAAGUUGCAAUUAAACGAAGUAAUCGCAGCUUCUGGCCUUACUGAAUGCUGCAAAUCGAUUUUAAUCGCAACCUUCAUGUGUCGAGUUUGCUGCAAUUCAAGGAAACAAAAUAUUUAAUUCGCAAUCUCUAUCUUCUCAACCCAGAUCUAGAAUUUCAAAAAACAAAAAUAUCAGAGAAAGGUUUUCGAAUCUCCAUAGCCAUGCCUCCUUCUACACAAAUAUUCUCCCAAUCUCCAUAACCGUUGAAUUCGAAUUCGAAUACUUCUACACAAAUACUUCGCCGGAUCUGCAGCUCGGAUCUGACUACGCCCACUCGCUACUUCGCCGGAAAGUUUCCUACUCCAUCGGAUCUGCAGCUCGCUCCUCCGCAUCUUCACCGCCUGCGUACCUUCAUCUUCUCCUCUGCUCCACUACGUACCCUUCUCUUCUCCUCUGCUCCACCGUCUGUAACAACGAAAAAGGACCCCUUGCUGGUAUUGCUAGUUUCUUGAACCAAAUCAUCCAUUCGAACUAUCAAGGCGUGAGUUCUUCUACUAGUGUGCUCAACAAGUUGAUGCAGUGGAUAGUGGUUAUUAUGUGAUGAAAUACAUGCAUGAUGUUGUCACAGUAUACAAUGAAUACAAGGAUAAUUUGUCUGAGGGUUAUGUACAAAGAGAAAUGCCAUAUUAUGAUGAGGAGUUAGAAGAAACUCGAGAACAAUGGGAAAAGUAUUUUAAGGACAACUAUUUGAUGGAUGCCGGCGAAUGAGUUUGUUGUCUAGUAAUGUUAUGUUUUAUGUUUUUGUUAUGUGUUGGUUAUGACGUUGGAUGCUACUUGGAGCAUAUAUAUGGUUGUUGGAACAUAUAUGUAAUAUACAGGUCUAAUUUAUAAAUUCUCGUUUU